GAUGAAGAACGUAGCGAACUGCGAUAAGUAAUGUGAAUUGCAGAAUUCAGUGAAUCAUCGAGUCUUUGAACGCACAUUGCGCCCCCUGGUAUUCCGGGGGGCAUGCCUGUCCGAGCGUCAUUGCUGCCCUCAAGCACGGCUUGUGUGUUGGGCCCCGUCCUCCGAUCCCGGGGGACGGGCCCGAAAGGCAGCGGCGGCACCGCGUCCGGUCCUCGAGCGUAUGGGGCUUUGUCACCCGCUCUGUAGGCCCGGCCGGCGCUUGCCGAUCAACCCAAAUUUUUUAUCCAGGUUGACCUCGGAUCAGGUAGGGAUACCCGCUGAACUUAAGCAUAUCAAUAAGCGGAGGA
rnacentral:misc_RNA from 1 species